rnacentral:rRNA from 1 species
GAUGAACGCUGGCGGCGCGCCUAACACAUGCAAGUCGAACGGUUAAAGCACCUUUUAGGUGUGUAUAGAGUGGCGAACGGCUGAGUAACACGUGGGCAACCUGCCCUCCUCUUGGUGAUAGCCUCGGGAAACCGAGGAUAAUACCCGAUACUUCAAUGUGGCCGCAUGACGACAUUGAGAAAGCUUUUGCGGAGAAGGAUGGGCCCGCGGCCUGUUAGCUUGUUGGUGGGGUAGAGGCCUACCAAGGCAAUGAUGGGUAGCUGGGUUGAGAGACCGACCAGACAGAAUGGGAGUGAGACACGGCCCAGACUCCUACGGGAGGCAGCAGUGGGGAAUCUUGCACAAUGGGCGAAAGCAUGAUGCAGCGACGACGCGGGCGGGACGAAGGCCUUCGGGUUGUAAACCGCUUUCAGCAGGGACGAGGCGAUAAGUGACGGUACCUGCAGAAGAAGCCCCGGCUAACUACGUG